AGUCGCGGGGCAGCAUGGAUGUCCUUUCGGGGACAUCUGAUGGCGACCGGCGUACGGGUGAGUAACUCGUAUCCAACCUGCCCUUUACAACGGGACAGCCCGUCGAAAGGCGGAUUAAUACCGUAUGUUGUCAUGUUGAUGCAUAUUUUCAUGACCAAAGGCUUCGGCCGGUAAAGGAUGGGGAUGCGUCUGAUUAGCUUGCCGGCGGGGUAACGGCCCACCGGGGCGACGAUCAGUAGGGGUUCUGAGAGGAAGGUCCCCCACAUUGGAACUGAGACACGGUCCAAACUCCUACGGGAGGCAGCAGUGAGGAAUAUUGGUCAAUGGGCGCGAGCCUGAACCAGCCAAGUAGCGUGCAGGACGACGGCCCUAUGGGUUGUAAACUGCUUUUAUACGGGGAUAAAGUAUGCCACGUGUGGUUUAUUGCAGGUACCGUAUGAAUAAGGACCGGCUAAUUCCGUGCCAGCAGCCGCGGUAAUACGGAAGGUCCGGGCGUUAUCCGGAUUUAUUGGGUUUAAAGGGAGCGUAGGCCGGGUUUUAAGCGUGCCGUGAAAUGUCGGGGCUCAACCUUGACACUGCGGCGCGAACUGGAGUCCUUGAGUGCGCGGAACGUAUGCGGAAUUCGUGGUGUAGCGGUGAAAUGCUUAGAUAUCACGAAGAACCCCGAUUGCGAAGGCAGCAUACGGCAGCGCUACUGACGCUGAAGCUCGAAGGCGCGGGUAUCGAACAGGAUCAGAUACCCUGGUAGUCCGCGCGGUAAACGAUGGAUGCCCGCUGUUGGCGAUAUAUUGUCAGCGGCCAAGCGAAAGCGUUAAGCAUCCCACCUGGGGAG
rnacentral:rRNA from 1 species